rnacentral:lncRNA from 1 species
GAAACAUUCUCUGUCUGUUCAGCCAUGUGCUGUUGAUCCUGGUCCCACAAAAUGUGUUAAUUGUACAUAGUUAUUAAUAGCAAUAGUUACUUUAUAUUUUUUUCUUUUUUUGAUGUUUUUUCUUGUGGAUAGUAAUAUUAAAUAUAUUUUUUUCAAUCUUUCUAUAAUCUUAAUUUUUUUAAACAGAUGGAGCAGCCAAGCAUAUACUGUGAGUUGUUAUACAAGAAGCUUAAGGUUGCUGAAAAUUUCACUCUGAGUGGCUGCUGCAAUGCUUAAUUAGCAAGCAGAUCAUAAGUGAAACUGCUUCUUCACCAACUGUGACCAGCAGGUAUUGACAAGA